GCCAUCAUUGAGUUGGGCACUUUAAAGAGACUGCCGGUAAUAAACCGGAGGAAGGUGGGAUGACGUCAAAUCAUCAUGCCCCUUAUGACCUGGGCUACACACGUGCUACAAUGGUUGGUACAACGAGUUGCGAGUCGGUGACGGCGAGCUAAUACUCUUAAAGCCAAUCUCAGUUCGGAUUGUAGGCUGCAACUCGCCUACAUGAAGUCGGAAUCGCUAGUAAUCGCGGAUCAGCACGCCCGCGGUCGAUACGUUCCGGCCUU
rnacentral:rRNA from 1 species